GAAGACAACAGGAAGAAUGAUUGUGUGGGGGUGUGAAUUUCCAGGUUGCAUGACUACUGCACUGAAAGCGGAACUUUCAGGUUCUUGCUGCAAAAAGAAAUGCCAAACAGCAGCCUAACCAUUUCUGCCAGCAACAGUGAUACAUAGGUGAUAGUUUCACUUACACAAUACGACCAUGGGUGAAAAUACCACUUGCCCUGUCGAGGGUUGCGUCCCUGACAGCCGCCCGUCACUUGGACUUGCUGUUGGUUUGCCUAUAUUCUUUUUGGCUUUGCUGCUGGUGGGGAUAGGAGUGUUUUUCUGGUUUCGACACAGAAAAUCGGUUGCAACUGAGUUAUCUAACAAACUUAAGAGCCAAGAUAAGAGCCAAGAUGGUCAUUCCAGGGAGUCUCCGUACAGUGAAUACACUGGAGGACUUCAACCCACACCACAGAGCCCAAUCUAUGAGAACUUUCAUAGUGGACAGUCCAAUCUGCAUGAAUUUCAGCGUUGUGCUGUACAGAGCGAGGACACGCACAGAGACCAUCAAGCAUACCUGCAGUGUGAUCCACAUGAUGCAAUCUACAGCAAUGAUCCUGCCCUCUUCUAUCCAGAUCAGGCUGAAAUCUCUGAGGAUGUUUACAUCAUGCCAGAUGCUUGA
ensembl:lncRNA